GAUGAACGCUGGCGGCGUGCUUAAUACAUGCAAGUCGAACGGAGAUAUUAGCAAUAGUAUCUUAGUGGCGAACGGGUGAGUAACGCGUUGGUGACCUGCCCCGAAGAGGGGGAUAACAGCUCGAAAGGGCUGCUAAUACCCCAUGAGAUCGUUAGGAUUAGAAGCCUGGCGAUGAAAGGAGUAAUCCGCUUUGGGAGGGGCCUGCGUCCCAUCAGCUAGUUGGUAGGGUAAAAGCCUACCAAGGCAAAGACGGGUAGGGGACCUGAGAGGGUGACCCCCCACACUGGCACUGAAACACGGGCCAGACACCUACGGGUGGCUG
rnacentral:rRNA from 1 species